UAGGGAAUCUUCGGCAAUGGACGAAAGUCUGACCGAGCAACGCCGCGUGAGUGAAGAAGGUUUUCGGAUCGUAAAACUCUGUUGUUAGAGAAGAACAAGGAUGAGAGUAGAAUGUUCAUCCCUUGACGGUAUCUAACCAGAAAGCCACGGCUAACUACGUGCCAGCAGCCGCGGUAAUACGUAGGUGGCAAGCGUUGUCCGGAUUUAUUGGGCGUAAAGCGAGCGCAGGCGGUUUCUUAAGUCUGAUGUGAAAGCCCCCGGCUCAACCGGGGAGGGUCAUUGGAAACUGGGAAACUUGAGUGCAGUAGAGGAGAGUGGAAUUCCAUGUGUAGCGGUGAAAUGCGUAGAUAUAUGGAGGAACACCAGUGGCGAAGGCGGCUCUCUGGUCUGUAACUGACGCUGAGGCUCGAAAGCGUGGGGAGCAAACAGG
rnacentral:rRNA from 1 species